UCCUCCUUAGCUCAGUUGGUUAGAGCAUCUGACUNNGGUCCUUGGUUCAAGUCCAAGAGGGGGAG
rnacentral:tRNA from 1 species